ACACCUUCAUGAGCGUGUGCUCACACUCAGUGUGACACGAGUGGGGCUAAAGGAGUGUCUGUUUUCAGGCAGAAUAAGGAAGGAUGUGGGUAUUCUUUCUCCCCACUCCCCGUCACCUCAACUUUUUCUUUCUUUCUUUUUUUUUCCUUCUGUGGUGGCAGGAACAGGGCUACACCUACAAGGGCCUCAGCAAGAAUAAACUAAAUUUCAGAGGAAGGCAUAUAUUUUGAAUGUCAAAUGAAAACAAGGAAGGAUGACAAAUAACCGGAAUACCAGGAAACAAGCUUCUCUACUGUGAAGGCCAAAAUUGUCUCUAAGUACAAUGACUGUGCUCCCAGUGAGGACAGCCAGUUUAUCUCCAGGUCAGUGGACUCUGGAAUGAAUGCUCCAUACAAGGUGUUUCUAAAGACUCGAAGACGAAUAAAAGGUCAUGAAACUCGGCAGAACAGUAUGUUCGGAGCUGUUUCAUUUUUUGAGUGUUUUUUAUGUAGAAGACCUUGUUAGGUUAGGAUACAUUUACUGGAGGGAAAAGUACCCAAGAAAAGUAGAUGGGCCACAUGGGAAAACCUUAACUUCAUUAGCCCCAGACACCAAGUACCAGAGCCAACCUACAAUUUGGAGCCUGUUCUUGGGAGCUGGCCCUUUCCCAGAUGUUUUCUUUUGUGGUAUAAUAAUUACCACAAACAGCAUUUAAAAUGACACUGAGAUUUAUUAUAUCACAGUUUCUGUGGGUCAUAAAUUAGUAGAAGCAUACAUCAGAGCUAUUUGGGAUUUGGUUCCAGACUACCACAAUAAUGCAAGUAUCUCGAUAAAUUGAGUCCCAUAAAUUUCUUGGUUUCCCAGAUCAUAUAAAAGUUAUUUACACUAUGCUAUAGUCUAUUAAGUAUGCGAUGGUGAAACAGAGUAGGUUCCUAUGGUCCUUCCCCUCACAUCCUCUGCCUGCCUUCUGUCUGUGAAAAACUCAAGUCAAAGACUAAGUUUAAUCAGAGAAAUGAGAACAUACAAAAAAAAAAAAAAAGGAAAACCGUCAAGGGAGACCAAA